rnacentral:lncRNA from 1 species
AAUACCUGAAUUGCAGUAAUCCUUACUAAAGCUUGUCCAAAUGGUUGAGAAACUAAAGCAUAGCUGACAAUACCGAAUAAGACAACAAUGCUUGUCAUCAAUGAUAAAAUUCUGAAGGAAUAUUUUCGUUGACCCUUUUGGCAUUCAACGACAAACGGCUCUGCAAAUUCAUUUAUUUUGUGUGCACUAUAUCCAGUUUGUUUACAAAAUUGAUGCAAUAAUCUUAUUUCAUGGUCAACAUAGUCAAGCUUAUCCUGCAAACUCAUUUUUGCAAAACUUUCUGAGAGUGUUUCCUCCUCCAGCAUCUUCACAGCAUUAAUUUCUUAGAACAACAUACAACAGGAAAAAGGAAAAACCCCGCGAAAAACGAAAG